AAUGGACAGUGCUGGCUCAAUGGCCUUGAAAUGAAGAUGCACACAGUUCUCUAUGGUUGACCAUGACUAGUGGAGCAAAAUCCACAAGGAUUCCUUUUUUACUGGAGCUCCAGCACUGAAACCUGAGCCACAGAGUGAGAAGAGAUGAUAUUCCACGGUGGUCAACAAUGAAAACAAACCUAUUACCCAGGCUUUCACUCACAGUUCUUCUAUCAUGCUCUGAUUAUGGAAUUUCAGAUGAGCAUUACCUGCGGCACGUGGAGGUAAAUGUGAUGCAUAAACCAAGCAAAAACCUCAAAGCUACUCUUAAAAUGCAAACCUGAAUUGAUUAAAAUAGGAUUGUGCUAAUAUGA